CUUCUCCUUCUUCUCAAGCUCUGCCAAUAAAGCAUUGAUUCUUUCUAGAGCCCUCUAUUCCCUCGCUCACACUAUCUAUAGGUCUUCCUUGAUUUUAGUUAACUGCUCUUCUAGCCUCACACAAUUCCUCUUAGAUUUCUCAAGAUCCUCAUAUGUGAUGAGCUUCUGGACCUCUGACUCCCUGUGCUUCUCCUCCAGCGAAGCACUCCACCUCUCAGUGAUGGCCUCCACCUGGGCAUCCAAGCUCUUAUAUUUCACAUCCA
rnacentral:lncRNA from 1 species